rnacentral:rRNA from 1 species
UACAGAGGUGGCAAGCGUUGUUCGGAAUUACUGGGCGUAAAGGGCGCGUAGGCGGCCUUCUAAGUCAGACGUGAAAUCCCCAGGCUUAACUUGGGAACUGCGUCUGAUACUGGGAGGCUUGAGUGCGGGAGAGGGAUGCGGAAUUCCAGGUGUAGCGGUGAAAUGCGUAGAUAUCUGGAGGAACACCGGUGGCGAAGGCGGCAUCCUGGACCGACACUGACGCUGAGGCGCGAAAGCUAGGGUAGCAAACGGG